rnacentral:rRNA from 1 species
AUUGAACGCUGGUUGCAGGCCUAACACAUGCAAGUCGAGCGGUACACAGAGAGCUUGCUCUCGGGUGACGAGCGGCGGACGGGUGAGUAAUGUCUGGGAAACUGCCUGAUGGAGGGGGAUAACUACUGGAAACGGUAGCUAAUACCGCAUAACGUCGCAAGACCAAAGUGGGGGACCUUCGGGCCUCAUGCCAUCAGAUGUGCCCAGAUGGGAUUAGCUAGUAGGUGGGGUAAUGGCUCACCUAGGCGACGAUCCCUAGCUGGUCUGAGAGGAUGACCAGCCACACUGGAACUGAGACACGGUCCAGACUCCUACGGGAGGCAGCAGUGGGGAAUAUUGCACAAUGGGCGCAAGCCUGAUGCAGCCAUGCCGCGUGUAUGAAGAAGGCCUUCGGGUUGUAAAGUACUUUCAGCGAGGAGGAAGGCGUUAAGGUUAAUAACCUUGGCGAUUGACGUUACUCGCAGAAGAAGCACCGGCUAACUCCGUGCCAGCCGCCGCGGUAAUACGGAGGGUGCAAGCGUUAAUCGGAAUUACUGGGCGUAAAGCGCACGCAGGCGGUCUGUCAGUCGGAUGUGAAAUCCCCGGGCUCAACCUGGGAACUGCAUUCGAAACUGGCAGGCUAGAGUCUUGUAGAGGGGGGUAGAAUUCCAGGUGUAGCGGUGAAAUGCGUAGAGAUCUGGAGGAAUACCGGUGGCGAAGGCGGCCCCCUGGACAAAGACUGACGCUCAGGUGCGAAAGCGUGGGGAGCAAACAGGAUUAGAUACCCUGGUAGUCCACGCCGUAAACGAUGUCGACUUGGAGGUUGUGCCCUUGAGGCGUGGCUUCCGGAGCUAACGCGUUAAGUCGACCGCCUGGGGAGUACGGCCGCAAGGUUAAAACUCAAAUGAAUUGACGGGGGCCCGCACAAGCGGUGGAGCAUGUGGUUUAAUUCGAUGCAACGCGAAGAACCUUACCUACUCUUGACAUCCAGAGAACUUAGCAGAGAUGCUUUGGUGCCUUCGGGAACUCUGAGACAGGUGCUGCAUGGCUGUCGUCAGCUCGUGUUGUGAAAUGUUGGGUUAAGUCCCGCAACGAGCGCAACCCUUAUCCUUUGUUGCCAGCGGUCCGGCCGGGAACUCAAAGGAGACUGCCAGUGAUAAACUGGAGGAAGGUGGGGAUGACGUCAAGUCAUCAUGGCCCUUACGAGUAGGGCUACACACGUGCUACAAUGGCAUAUACAAAGAGAAGCGACCUCGCGAGAGCAAGCGGACCUCAUAAAGUAUGUCGUAGUCCGGAUUGGAGUCUGCAACUCGACUCCAUGAAGUCGGAAUCGCUAGUAAUCGUAGAUCAGAAUGCUACGGUGAAUACGUUCCCGGGCCU